rnacentral:rRNA from 1 species
AUUGAACGCUGGCGGCAGGCCUAACACAUGCAAGUCGGACGGUAGCACAGAGGAGCUUGCUCCUCGGGUGACGAGUGGCGGACGGGUGAGUAAUGUCUGGGGAUCUGCCCGAUAGAGGGGGAUAACCACUGGAAACGGUGGCUAAUACCGCAUAACGUCGCAAGACCAAAGAGGGGGACCUUCGGGCCUCUCACUAUCGGAUGAACCCAGAUGGGAUUAGCUAGUAGGCGGGGUAACGGCCCACCUAGGCGACGAUCCCUAGCUGGUCUGAGAGGAUGACCAGCCACACUGGAACUGAGACACGGUCCAGACUCCUACGGGAGUCAGCAGUGGGGAAUAUUGCACAAUGGGCGCAAGCCUGAUGCAGCCAUGCCGCGUGUGUGAAGAAGGCCUUCGGGUUGUAAAGUACUUUCAGCGGGGAGGAAGGCGAUGUGGUUAAUAACCGCAUUGAUUGACGUUACCCGCAGAAGAAGCACCGGCUAACUCCGUGCCAGCCGCCGCGGUAA